AUUGAACGCUGGCGGCAUGCCUUACACAUGCAAGUCGAACGGCAGCACGGGUGCUUGCACCUGGUGGCGAGUGGCGAACGGGUGAGUAAUACAUCGGAACGUACCUUAUCGUGGGGGAUAACGCAGCGAAAGUUGCGCUAAUACCGCAUACGCCCUGCGGGGGAAAGCGGGGGACCGUAAGGCCUCGCGCGAUUAGAGCGGCCGAUGUCUGAUUAGCUUGUUGGUGAGGUAAAAGCUCACCAAGGCGAUGAGCAGUAGCUGGUCUGAGAGGACGAUCAGCCACACUGGGACUGAGACACGGCCCAGACUCCUACGGGAGGCAGCAGUGGGGAAUUUUGGACAAUGGGGGCAACCCUGAUCCAGCAAUGCCGCGUGAGUGAAGAAGGCCUUCGGGUUGUAAAGCUCUUUUGUCAGGGAAGAAACAGCAGCUCUAACACAGUCUGCGAAUGACGGUACCUGAAGAAUAAGCACCGGCUAACUACGUGCCAGCAGCCGCCGUAA
rnacentral:rRNA from 1 species